UUAACAGAUACACCUGUGUGUUUUCUUCACAAACAGCAUAUGAAUUAGAACACCCUAAUGCCUUCCAGGUGUUUUCAACUUCAGCUCCCAGAAUCCCUGAGUAUUGGAACAGCUGGCUAGGGCUUCUUGGAGUUGGAGGCCCACAGGUUGUGCAAGCCUGCUGUGAAGGAUGCAUGACACCUUGUCAACAAUAUAACUUUGAACAGGAUAUGUUAUUCUCCUUGUGGCAAGAGCAACAGGUUCUAAGACCUAUCCCUUGGGACUCCGAGACCUCAUUCUUCCACUUUCUUUUCUGAAUAGUAGAUGUAUGAAGAAGGAAGACUACCAGUCUAAGAAAUACUCGUUCUCUCUACCAACGGCACAAGAAUUUCAAGAAGGCUGAUAAAUGGAAGAACUAGAACUUUCAAACUGCUAGACAAAUUUACAGAAUCUGUACUUGCAUUGGUGUGGGUUUCCCCUUUUCCCACAUUAUCAAGAAAGGCAAAACAAUCAAAGCAAAAAUGUCAAGCAUUAUGUAUUUACAAAAUUGUUUAUGAUCCCCCCCCCCCGGGCUCCUGGGAGCCCCUAUAGUAAAGGUAAAGGUUUUCCCCUGACAUUAAGUCUAGCCAUGUCUGACUUUGGCGGUUGAUGCUCAUCUCCCUUCCUAAGCUGAAGAACCAGCAUUGUGCGCAGACACCUCCAAGGUCAUGUGGCCAGCAUGACUGCAUGGAGCGCAGUUACAUUACCCCUGGAGCGGUACCUAUUGAUCUACUCACAUUUGCAUUUGGUUUUUGAACUACUACCCUGUUUCCCCUAAAAUAAGACAUCCCCAGAAAGUAAGACUUAGUAGAGGUUUUGCUGAAUUGCUAAAUAUAAGACCUCUCCUGAAAGUAAGACCUAGCAAAGUUUUUGUUUGGAAGCAUGCCCACCAAACAGAAUACCAGCUCAUGCAGGAUUGGUAAAUGUACAUACCAUAAAGUGUUGUACAUGGAAAUAUUGGUAGUAACAAGAAAUUCUUGAUAGGAUUCACAGUUGGUCUGGUUAUGCUGGUUUAUGAUGACAACUACUGUACAGUAUAUAAUUGCUCGUUUUUUUUGUUCAACAAUAAACGUGAAUUCUUCUUCAUGGAAAAAUUAGACAUCCCCUGAAAAUAA